rnacentral:rRNA from 1 species
AGCUCUGUAAGCGUAUACCAAAGUUGUUGCAGUUAAAACGCUCGUAGUCGGACUUUGGCAGUUCCGGGAGUGUGCGCGUCGUGCGCACGCUUUGCGGGGACUGCUUUUGUGGUAAGGCGUGGGAUGAAGCAUUUAACUAUGAACGUCCCUUCGCCACCACUUUUUACUGUGAGAAAAUCAGAGUGCUCAAAGCAGGCAUUUGCCGUGAAUGUAUUAGCAUGGAAUAAUAGAAUAGGACUUGGUUCUAUUUUGUUGGUUUGUUGGAAUUGAGUAAUGAUUAAGAGGGACAGUUGGGGGUAUUUGUAUUUCGGCGUUAGAGGUGAAAUUCUUAGAUCGCCGAAAGACAAACUGCUGCGAAAGCGUCUACCAAGGAUGUUUUCA